rnacentral:rRNA from 1 species
GAUGAACGCUGGCGGCGUGCCUAAUACAUGCAAGUCGAGCGAACAGAUGAGGAGCUUGCUCCUCUGACGUUAUCGGCGGACGGGUGAGUAACACGUGUAUAACCUACCUAUAAGACUGGGAUAACUUCGGGAAACCGGAGCUAAUACCGGAUAAUAUAUUGAACCGCAUGGUUCAAUAGUGAAAUACGGUUUUGCUGUCACUUAUAGAUGGAUCCGCGCCGCAUUAGCUAGUUGGUAAGGUAACGGCUUAACAAGGCGACGAUGCGUAGCCGACCUGAGAGGGUGAUCCGACACCCUGGAACUGAGACACGGCCCAGACUCCUACGGGAGGACGCAGCAGGGAAUCUUACGCAAUGGGCGAAAGCCUGACGGAGCAACGCCGCGUGAGUGAUGAAGGUCUUCGGCUCGUAAAACUCUGUUAUUAGGGAAGAACAAAUGUGUAAGUAACUAUGCACGUCUUGACGGUACCUAAUCAGAAAGCCACGGCUAACUACGUG